CCUACGGGAGGCAGCAGUGAGGAAUAUUGGUCAAUGGGCUUACGCCUGAACCAGCCAAGUCGCGUGAGGGAAGACUGCCCUAUGGAUUGUAAACCUCUUUUGUCAGGGAGCAAUUGGCGCUACGUGUAGCGUUAUCGAGAGUACCUGAAGAAAAAGCAUCGGCUAACUCCGUGCCAGCAGCCGCGGUAAUCCGGAGGAUGCGAGCGUUAUCCGGAUUUAUUGGGUUUAAAGGGUGCGUAGGCGGAAUGCCAAGUCAGCGGUAAAAUCGCGGGGCUCAACCUCGCUCCGCCGUUGAAACUGGCGUUCUUGAGUGGGCGAGAAGUAUGCGGAAUGCGUGGUGUAGCGGUGAAAUGCAUAGAUAUCACGCAGAACUCCGAUUGCGAAGGCAGCAUACCGGCGCCCAACUGACGCUGAAGCACGAAAGCGUGGGUAGCGAACAGGAUUAGAUACCCGAGUAGUC
rnacentral:rRNA from 1 species